CAGCCGUAAACUAUGCGCGUUAGGUGUAUCGGUGACCACGAGUUACCGAGGUGCCGAAGGGAAACCGUGAAACGUGCCGCCUGGGAAGUACGGUCGCAAGGCUGAAACUUAAAGGAAUUGGCGGGGGAGCACCACAACAGGUGGAGCCUGCGGUUUAAUUGGACUCAACGCCGGGAAGCUCACUGGAUAGGACAGCAGAAUGAUUGCCGGGCUGAAGACCCUGCAUGACUAGCUGAGAGGAGGUGCAUGGCGUCAGUGACU
rnacentral:rRNA from 1 species